rnacentral:rRNA from 1 species
UACGGGGGGGGCAAGCGUUGUUCGGAAUUACUGGGCGUAAAGGGCUCGUAGGCGGCCAACUAAGCCGGAUGUGAAAUCCCCAGGCUUAACCUGGGAACUGCAUCCGAUACUGGAUGGCUUGAAUCCGGGAGAGGGAUGCAGAAUUCCAGGUGUAGCGGUGAAAUGCGUAGAUAUCUGGAGGAACACCGGUGGCGAAGGCGGCAUCCUGGACCGAUACUGACGCUGAGGAGCGAAAGCCAGGGGAGCAAACGGG